GUGUACAAGGUAUCAGGACGUAUUAACCGUUUUCAAAUAUUUCAAUCUUAGUAAAAUAUAAUUAUCAGAUUUCGUUAUCUUCUAUAUAUACGAAAACGCGAGUCUAUAUGGAACAGAAUUUUAAUCGGAUUGCAUAGAUUUGGAAAUCUUAGGAGAUCUGACAGUACCGAUGGAAGUUUACAGGCUCUUAAGAGCAACAGAGGAUCCUAAUAUUGACCUUUCUGCCAAAGCUCCUUAUCAGCCAAGUUCAAUUGUAGAUCAUGUUGCAUAUGGAUCCUACCGUGAAUCCCGCUAUAUUUCGACUUGUGGUUCACUAGAUCAUGCUUUUAUCUUCAGAACAAUCAACCAACAGAAUGGAUAUACGAAUGGACCAAUUGUUAAGAUUAGCAUUGUUGAUGGAAUGACUUUCUAUGACCUUAAUAAUCCUGCUCAAAUAGAACAAAUUUUGCAGGCCGAAAUCUCAAAGCAUUCACAGCAAACCAUUGGUAAAUUCCUUACUUUCGCUGAAGCACGUCACGAAGUUCUAAUAGAAGACCGUGUUCCUCGCGGGAACUUCGUAAUUUUGAAUGUUUAGAUAUUGUUUAUUUCGUUUCACAUCUGUACCUUUUUUAUAAACUCAAAUAUAAGUUCAAAAGCAUUGAUCGUCAAAUAAGGAGGGGGUUCCAACCCCGGAACCCCAAUGUCAGCUAAGUAUGGUGUUACUUAUGUGUAAAACAGUUAUGUCUCAUAGUUUAACAAGAAGUGGUUAUUUCCGACCAUUACUGUAUAGAAUAGUUCAGAGUUUUGUUCUAUAAAAAUAUUUUUUAUAUUUCA